rnacentral:rRNA from 1 species
UAGGGAAUCUUCGGCAAUGGGGGCAACCCUGACCGAGCAACGCCGCGUGAGUGAAGAAGGUUUUCGGAUCGUAAAGCUCUGUUGUAAGAGAAGAACGUGUGUGAGAGUGGAAAGUUCACACAGUGACGGUAACUUACCAGAAAGGGACGGCUAACUACGUGCCAGCAGCCGCGGUAAUACGUAGGUCCCGAGCGUUGUCCGGAUUUAUUGGGCGUAAAGCGAGCGCAGGCGGUUUAAUAAGUCUGAAGUUAAAGGCAGUGGCUUAACCAUUGUUCGCUUUGGAAACUGUUAAACUUGAGUGCAGAAGGGGAGAGUGGACUUCCAUGUGUAGCGGUGCAAUGCGUAGAUAUAUGGAGGAACACCGGUGGCGAAAGCGGCUCUCUGGUCUGUAACUGACGCUGAGGCUCGAAAGCGAGGGGAGCAAACAGG